AGGACAAAGUUCGGAAGAAGUUAGAGGAACUUGGUUGCCGCGAGAGGGGCGGGACCAGAGGAGACAGACGCAAGUAGUCAUGACGAGUUCUGAGCUGAGCUAAGUGAGCUAGCCGCUUCGGGCUCACGGGUUCGGCUGCGUUUAAUGGAGGUCGGGGAGUGGACGAGUGAAUUACAAGGCUCUCAAUGUUUUCCUAUGGGGUUUCAACUCCUAUUCAUCUAACAGGCCUGCAACGUUUUCACACUCUCCUGGAGGCCAAUUGUGAUGAAGCGAGGAUGAACGUUUUUUUCCUCAGGAAAGCCUCUAAACAGUUGGUGAUUGGCGUUGAAUACAAAGUGACAGUCAGUGAUCCUCAUGAAUGCCGAAGUACCUUAUUGACUGAGAAACAGGUCUUGUUAGCAGUAACAGAAAUAUAAGCAUUUAAACCAUGUAUUUAUGCAGACUGCAUUGGCCAGGCUUCUUGACGGUAAAAAUAAGUGUUUUUAAGAGUGUGUCUGUGUGUGUAUCAGUUUGGA